CCUUCCCUGCCUCUCUAAUGCCUCUCUCCCUGCACAGGGCCCAGAGGACACUCCAUUGGCUAAGGUGUUGGGAGGCGUCCACUGGUUCCAAGAUCUUUCUUGAAAAGCUCUAUGAUGACUGCUUUUUCAACUCAGAGCUGAGAACAGGAGCCAUCCCCACUGAAACUGGGUUCUCGCAUUCCAUAGGUAUAAUGGCAGCUCUUAAUUUCCAGAGACAAAGUGGGCUUGUGUAUUGGGAUGGGAAACAAGAGCUCAGCCAUAAUCAUCAUGGUUGAACCCACAGAGUGUCAGUGGUGAUGAAGGGAUCAGGGUGUCUCUGGGAUUGAGGUCCCCACACAGGCCACUAAGGUCUUCCCUUGAUCUGCACAAAGCAAACAGAGAAACAAAGAUGCCCUAUCUGGCUCUGGGAAUUAGAGACCCUGCUUGAGUCACCGAGAAACUUAGGGCCCUUAUCAAUCCAUCCCCAGACCUGAGCCAGGUGGCAGACCCGAAGGCCCUUGAAUACGGGGGGAUGUUAUAGCCCCUUAGGCAUGGUCCUGGCAUGAAUUUAUAACAAAGAUUUCCUCCUAACCUUCCCCAAAG
rnacentral:lncRNA from 1 species